rnacentral:rRNA from 1 species
UACGAAGGGGGCUAGCGUUGCUCGGAAUUACUGGGCGUAAAGGGCGCGUAGGCGGCCGAUCAAGUCAGGCGUGAAAUUCCCGGGCUCAACCUGGGGGCUGCGCUUGAGACUGGUUGGCUAGAGGCCGAGAGAGGGUGGUGGAAUUCCCAGUGUAGAGGUGAAAUGCGUAGAGAUUGGGAAGAACAUCGGUGGCGAAGGCGCUCUGCUGGACCAUAACUGACACUCACAGGACGAAAGCUAGGGGAGCGAAUGGG